AAUCAACUAUUUCUACAGCUACAGUCACUGCCAGCCAUAUCAUAGCACUGAAAAAAUAACACAUAUUUUAAGCUUUUUUUAAAGUACAACAGAAGAUUUGACGAUAUUUGUAUUUUAAUCAUAUAGCGUGACGUUUUACUACAAGGAGAUACAAUGCAUUUUACAUUACAAGAGCGAAAUAAGACGUGGAUGCCAGCUAUCAACUUGAGCAUCGUGGGAUUGGUGGUUUAUAUUAUGGCCUGGCCUGUGUCCAGUAUGGAUGUCCUGGUCCAUAACCAGAUCAACGUCCUGAACGGCACCAUGGUGAGGAUCCAGUGCAUCUUCACUUCCUGCUACAAGAUGGACGUCAACAAGUUUGCCAUGAACUGGACCUACCAGGAGAACACCAAUGAGACUGAGGAGAUGUUCAUGACCUAUAAGAAGGGGAUGAUGCCCCUGCGGACAGACCGGUUCAGUGACCGAGUGCAGUUUGUGGGUAACCUGGAAAAGAACGACUUGUCCAUCACCCUCUCUGAUGUCCAGCUGUCGGACGAGGGCGUCUAUAACUGCUACGUCCGUAACCCCCCCGACCGCAUCCAGGGCCACGGAAUCAUCAACAUGUUUGUCGUCACAGAAUUGCCUCCCCCGCGGGACUCGACCAUAGCGGUUGCGAUCGGGGCGUCAGUCGGCGGUGCGCUGGCUCUGCUCAUCCUGUCCAUGGUGGUGGUGAAGUGCAUACGGCGUCACAAGAAACAGGAGCUCAUCUCUGACGAGCAGAAGAUGGAGGAAGAGGGCAAGCUGGAUGCAGAGGGGGGCCCCGAGGAGGGAACCAAGCAGCUAUAACCGGCCUGCAUGGUCCUGGAGGCCCAAGGUUCGCUGGAGCCCAACCUCCUCCCUCACGCUGGAAAGCAUUCCUGCCUGAAGAUGUAUAGUGACCCUUGCUUGAAUCCUCGUCCAGCAUCUGCCUCAGCCCACGCCGCCUCCCUUCCUUCCUCUUGUCCAUCCAAACAAGAUUGCAGUUAUGGGAAGCCCCAGCCACCAGCCACGCAACCCACGCCACCCCUGCCUCUAUCUUCAGUCAGUCUUAUCUCCUCUCUUCUUCGACGGGGGGCCACAAAAGGUGUAGGAGACUAGUAGACGGCAGUCUCCAAACGACAUUCCUCUUUCCCCUUUUUCUCGCUUUUGGUUUAGCUUAAGAUAGAGAUGUAAGACCUUAAUUUGAUCCCCCUCUAGCAGCAUAACUUUCCUACAAUGCAGUAUGUUUAAAAUGUGUAUUGUAUUGGAGGUUUUAAAAGGCUUCUGAAGUUUUCCCUAAUGGAAAAUGCAUCAACUCUUAGAAAAAGAUAAAUUCAUUCUAAUCCACAUAAUCAUUCACAUUUCCUGUUGCUGCAGGACUAUUUUCCUGCUGUAGAAAACUGGCUCAAAUUAAGAUCCUACAUCUGUAGAGUAAAUGGAUGGUUUGACAUCCGUGAUUACUGGGAAAGAUCCUGCUCUCUCUUUCUCUCUCUCUCUCUCUCUCGCUUUCUCUGUAUCGCUCUCUUAAAUUGUUGUCUUCUAACUUGCCACACCAUUGGAUAACAAAUGAUUUACUUCCAAAUCAUAUAAUUCUCUCUCGCUCUUGCUCGCUCACUCUCUCUCGCUCUAAUUUUCUUUCUCUAUCACAUUACUUAGCGAUGCAUAAUGGCUGGGGCAAAAAAGUUCCCUUUUUUUCUGACAGCUCGUGUGUGUGUGUGUGUGUGUCCAAAUUCUACCUUUCUGUGUGAGAAUGGUGUGGGUGGAUUUUUGGCUGUGUGUGUUAGUUUUUAUGUACAGGGUAUAAGCUGAAUGACCUUCAGACGUAACUACGAGCAGUGUGGGUGUAUACACAUGUGUGAAUACGUGUGGGUUUGUGUGUGUGUGUGUGUGUGUGUGUGUGUGUGUGUGUGUGUGUGUGUGUGUGUGUGUGUGUGUGUGUGUGUGUGUGUGUGUGUGUGUGUGUGUGUGUGUGUGUGUGUGUGUGUGUGUGUGUGUGUGUGUGUGUGUGUGUGUGUGUGUGUGUGUGUGUGUGUGUGUGUGUGUGUGUAUUUGAGAAUGUGUUUUAGUGUCCUUAGUGUCCGAGUGUCUUUCCUUCAAACUCAGAGUCUCCCUUAAUGGAGAAGCCAGGCAUGAUUUUAUCAGUAGUCAACUCUUCUGAACCCUUGCUUCAAUAUGAUAUUUUAGCCUGUGUUGCUUGCUCAUACAUCGAAACAAAACACACUUGUAUCGCUAUGAAUGAAGCUAGUACAAUAUCAUACAUAAGCAUGACAUUUUUUUGCACACAUUAAGACAGGCACAAUUCUGUCUACAGUGGAUGGAUCAUUAAUGGUCUGACAUUAUAUACUAACUGACAUUGUACAAAAAACCCAAUCUCCAAAUGAUGUCCCCCUUUUGUCCACGUGCAGUAACCCUUACACAACACCUGAAUGUCCGGCCCUAGUUGGUCGUUGACACUCAAAUGAGCACACAGACACAUUGACUAUACGUGAUCCAACACAUAAGCUUCAAACACCACAUGCAGCCGUGUAGCUGUUUUGCACACCAGAAGUCCACACGCCGAGGCCUACACAUACAUAAAAGCUGAGCACUUUCAGGGAAAACAGAAAAAAAGUACAAUAGAGAAACAUUUAUAUCGGAUACAUAUAUUUAUACGUUUUGACCAAAUACCAAGCUGUACUCUAGAGGUGUGCUUUGAUUGUUGUCGCUAUUUACGUGUGGUCCUCACUGUCUUAAACUAUCAAUGUUGGAAUGUAUGAGGCCUCUCUCCUCUGAGGUAAUUGAUAUUGGAUGUUCUAUGGAUGUUACAUAUUUAGCUAUAUUAGUAUUGCACUGGUUGUGAAUGUAUUUGGGAGACAACGUGAGAUGUCCAAGUUGACGUAGCAACUAUAUACAAUCAAUCAUUCCACUUCUCGCCCAUUGAAUUUCAAACUACCUUCACAGAUGUAGGGCUUACAAGUAUUGUAAUGUAUGUAAGUCUGUGAAGGAUCACACAAAGUAUAAACUGUGGAUUUGCUAAACAAUAUCACAACCUUAAAAUAGUAACAUUUAUUUAUUUUAGUGAAAAUGUUACCUUCAUUUGCUCCUUGUGUUUAAAAGUCUUGGCUUUGUAUUUUCCAACAGACAGUGUUGGGGGAGCAGAUAGCCUAUGGGAGUGUGACUUUAGGUUGGCAGAAUAUGACUGGGUGCCUCAGGUGUUGUCUGAUGUGGUUUUAAGGCCUAAAGCCGGGGGCCACGCUGAUUCUGUGCCCAGGAGUGCCCUACCUCAUCUGGAGACAGUCUCUCCCUGUAUCUGCAAUGGGCACUGCAUUCAUAGUCUGCCUUUACAUUAUUCACUGCUAAAGCUUCUUUCUUGCACACUUUGUUUCUUAUUAUUUGUCUCCUCAGAUCCGUCCUAGCUUAGAUUUCAUUUGAUUGAGUAUUGUAUUUUGACAUUGUUGAAUUUUGUACCACGCAGUUAUGUAAUUUGUACUUUAUGAUGUGACUUUGUGGUUGUCCUAGCUGUUGACGUUGUGGUAGCCAUCAUUACUUGGUCUUGGUAAGUUGGCCUAAGUUUGGGGAGCUCACGUCUGAAAGAUCAUUAAUUUAACAGUGGAAGGUCAAUGCUGAUCUCCACUUGUAGGGUUUACACGCUCCCUUUCUAGAAUGACUUCAUUACUAAUUACUAUAUGAAUUAAUUCAACUUCUGUGCAAUUGUGACUGUGGUGUUAAUCAGUUUGUAUGGAGUCUGAGACAUCAGCUAGAUGCAUGGUUAGAAGUCUGGGAAGCGUGUUCUCCUAACCAGAGAAUAUAUCUCUAGGUCACAAUCAGACUUAAUUUCCAAAGUAAUGAUGGUACCUCAAGAAUUAACCCCCCCAAAAUUAUAAUUUAGAUUGUACUGUAUUUUAUACACGAACACACACACACACUCACACAGUGCUACCGAUGGGUAGGGGACAAAGCACAUGAUCCGGAAAAAAAAAGGGGCCGCCUAAUGAAAUCAACACGACCUCCAUUUCUCCUGUCACUCACUCUGACAUCUCCGCUGGAGUCCUGAAUGCUGGGUAGCUAGCUGGGAUAGUAGUGGAGGUCCCGGAGUUUCCCCUGUCUGUCUCUGUGUGAUCAUGCAUGUUUUUACUGCAGUCUUCCUCUGUGACGCAUGGCUCUAACCAGGCCCUCUCGCACCGGACACCCGAAAUGCUUGCACUGCACUGUGUCUCUAAGAAUGAGCUGUAAUCAAUAUUGUAUUUUGAAAUAAAAAUGAGUACAUAAAUAUUA